CCUACGGGAGGCAGCAGUAGGGAAUAUUGCUCAAUGGGGGAAACCCUGAAGCAGCAACGCCGCGUGGAGGAUGAAGGUCUUCGGAUUGUAAACUCCUUUUGUUAGAGAAGAUAAUUACGGUAUCUAACGAAUAAGCACCGGCUAACUCCGUGCCAGCAGCCGCGGUAAUACGGAGGGUGCAAGCGUUACUCGGAAUCACUGGGCGUAAAGAGCGCGUAGGCGGGAUAGCAAGUCAGAUGUGAAAUCCUAUGGCUUAACCAUAGAACUGCAUUUGAAACUGUUAUUCUAGAGUAUGGGAGAGGUAGGUGGAAUUCUUGGUGUAGGGGUAAAAUGCGUAGAGAUCAAGAGGAAUACUCAUUGCGAAGGCGACCUGCUAGAACAUAACUGACGCUGAUGCGCGAAAGCGUGGGGAGCAAACAGGAUUAGAUACCCGAGUAGUC
rnacentral:rRNA from 1 species